GAUCAUGGCUCAGGAUGAACGCUAGCGGCAGGCCUAAUACAUGCAAGCCGGACGGCAAGUUGAGUAGCAAUACUUGACCUAGAGUGGCGUAAGGGUGCGUAACACGUAUGCAAUCUGCCCACAGCCGGGAGAUAGCCCUCCGAAAGGAGGAUUAAUAUCCCAUAGGAAGAUGAGAUGGCAUCAUUUUAUUUUUAAACUACGGGGGCUGUGGAUGAGCAUGCGGUUGAUUAGCUAGUUGGCGGGGUAAAGGCCCACCAAGGCGAUGAUCAAUAGGGGACCUGAGAGGGUGAUCCCCCACACUGGCACUGAGAUACGGGCCAGACUCCUACGGGAGGCAGCAGUAGGAAUAUUGGACAAUGGGUGUAAGCCUGAUCCAGCCAUGCCGCGUGCAGGAAGAAGGCCUUCUGGGUUGUAAACUGUCUUUUGCCGGGGGAUAAAAGAUCCAUGCGUGGAGAAUUGAAGGUACCCGGUGAAUAAGCCACGGCUAACUACGUG
rnacentral:rRNA from 1 species